AUGAAGGAGCUAGGUCUUCGAGAGGAGGACCUUGACGAUGUGGUGUUCGAUGAAGAUGAGGCGCCGCCGGCGGCGGCACGCUGGAUCGCGCUUGUCCGGGUGCACACACCCAAAUCAUACAACCAAUUUUGGUUUUUUAAGAAUAUGAGGGCGACGUGGGAUCUAGCUCAGGAGGUCCAGUUCAAACCGCUUGAAGACAAUCUGUACACAGCCCAGUUCUCAUGUUUGGGCGAUUGGGAG
rnacentral:rRNA from 1 species